CUAUAUGUAAUUAAAAAUUCUAUAGGGGGUUAAGUGUAAUUUUCACAAUAUAUUAAUAUUUUUUAAGGGUUAAUAUAUAAAUUUCACAAUAUUUAUAUACUAUAUAAAUUUUACAAUAUAUGUAAUUUUAAGUUUAAUUACAUAUAAAUCCCUAAAAACUUAAAUAUCCCUAAAUUUCUCCCCCAAAUCUUCUAAAUCCCUAAACCUCUCCCCAAAUUUUCUAAAUCCUUAAACCUCUCCCCCAAAUUUCUAAAUCCCUAAACCUCUCCCCCAAACCCAAAACCCACGAUAUUUCCCCAAUAUCCCCCAAAUUUCCCCAAUAUCCCCAAAACCCACGAUUUCACCCAAAAUCUCUCCAAUAUUAUUUCCCCAAUCUCAUUUUCCCCCCAUCCUCCAAUCUCGUUUCCCCCCAUCUCAUUUCCUUCAAUCUUGUUUCCCCCAAUCUCCUUCCCCAAAACUCACGAUUUUCCCCAAUCUCUAUUCCUCCCAUCCACCUCACGAUCAUCUCAGGGUCAACCGGUCAAGCUCUCACGUUCCGACCACCGUCCAUCGAGAUUCAGUUAUUGUGCCACAGCCCACAAGACACCACCACCAUCGGAUUUCACUGCCUUCAGUUCGUCUCCACUCUCCAGAGUCCAG
rnacentral:lncRNA from 1 species